rnacentral:lncRNA from 1 species
CGGGACUAAGGGGGCCACCUGCAGACACACCCUGGCUUCGGGACCGUCUUCCUUCUCUUCCCCCUCGGGGCCUAGAGGAGGCCACGCGCGGGGUCUCCGAGCUCUAGGGUCCGGAGCUCUAGGGUCCUUUUAUGUAGCAAAGUCAGGCCUGGGAACAGAACUUCAUGUGCUUGUAAAAAGUCUCAGGUGCGUCCUCGUUGUUUUAGAGACUUGGAGAGGAAUGGGGGCGGGGGGAACAAAAUCCGAGGACAGUCGAGCCAAGAAAAGUCGGGGCUUCUAGGAUGCCAACCACGCCAAACAGAUCAAAACCAGGACUGGAGGACUGAAGAUGAAGCCGGCAAAAAGUCACCAGCCACGGCUCUUGUAAGGUAUGCUUCACCUCUCCUGCUAAGUCUUCAUCCCUGUCUAUGAGGACAAAGAAGUUACGGGUUAAAUUGGCGAUGGGCCAGGCGCUCCUUGAGGAUGCUCUAAAGAGGACCUGGGUUCGAUUCCUAGCACUGACAUUGUGACUCACAGCCUCCUGUAAUUUCAGUUCCAGGGAAUCUGAUGCCUUCUUCUAACCAUCACGAAGACAAGUUGGUGAUAGAAAAUGGGAGAACUGAAGACAACCACUUUAUAAAACCCUUGCCUGCUUGAAUUUGUGGUGAUGAACCGGCCCCUGGGAUUUGCUGCUCAGAACCUGAGUUCACUGAGACAUCAGGAGCAAGCACUGGAGGCCGGGUGCUGCUGGAUCCUGAUGGGAGCCAUGCAGGACUUGACCAUGGCCUGCACACACUUCUUCCCAGGAGAAGGGGAAUGAGGAAGGACUGGCCCCUGGGAUUUGCUGCUCAGUUCACUGAGACAUCAGGAGCAAGCACUGGAGGCCGGUGCUGCUGGACCCAGAUGGGAGCCAUGCAGGACUUGACCAUGGCCUGCAUACACUUCUUCCCAGGAGAAGGGGAAUGAGGAAGAACUGGACGAUGAAUUUUAACCUCCACACCACAAGCACUGGGGUAGAAGACUGCUGCUGGGUGAAGAAGAGACUAGACUUGAUCAUUGAGCAGCCACUCACUGAUAUCUUCAGUGCUGCAUGAGGAAGCAGAGUUUAUUCUUCUGGAUUUGGUGGUGGAUUCUGGUGAAGAUACAGAUGGAUGCUCUGGCUGAGUCGCUACCUUGAAAUGAAAAUGGGAGGACUGGCCCCUGGGAUUUGCUGCUCAGGACCUGAGUUCACUGAGACAUCAGGAGCAAGCACUGGAGGCUGGGUGCUGCUGGACCCAGAUGGGAGCCAUGCAGGACUUGACCAUGGCCUGCACACACUUCUUCCCAGGAGAAGGGGAAUGAGGAAGAACUAGAUCCUAAGAGCAGAAGACAAUCAUAUGUCCUGAGAACCCAUUGGAGGUUGAACAGCGCUGGGUGGAUGGAGAAAGGCAGAAAUGCAGAAUUUCGUCAUUGCCUGGAUGCUGACUUUAUCCAAAGAGAAGAUGCAUGAGGAGUGUACAUGCCUCAGAACUGGAUGCUGAGACAUGCCCCCGCGAUCCCAAGACCACCAGGUACCGUGAGCAAUCACUGGAGCUGGAACACUGCUGCCUGAGGAAGAGAAGAAGUGCAGGCUUGUCAUUGUCUAUGCUGUUACUUGUGGUUCCCGGGUCUUCAGAGAGGAUGCACAAGAACGGGAGAACCGGCCCCUGGGAUUUGCUGCUCAGGACCCGAGUUCACUGAGACAUCAGGAGCAAGCACUGGAGGCCGGUGCUGCUGGAUCCAGAUGGGAGCCAUGCAGGACUUGACCAUGGCCUGCACACACUUCUUCCCAGGAGAAGGGGAAUGAGGAAGGCAGACUGGCAUCACAGGACCCUUCAGAGUAUUAAUGCAGACCUUCGUGACAGAGGUCCAGUACCAAGUGCUCAGCGGUGCUAAGGUCCAGGGACAGGAGGCAGAAGGGCGGGUUCCAGCCCGCUCAGCUGGCCAUGGUAAAAUACUAGCUGGUGUCCUAGGGCAGCAAGGCGCCUCCCUCUCCAGGUUAUGAAAACAUUGCAGUCUGAGUUUCUGUUGGGACCUGAGAAGAAGUCAAGGAAGCCCUGCAAGGCACUCACAGCUGCUCCUGCUGUCUGUAAUCGGCCGCCAUCUUCCUUCAUUCUCUGGUGACUGAGGUCCAGGAACAGGAAGCAGAGGGGCAGGUUCCACCCCGCUCAGCUGGCCAUGAACCGGCCCCUGGGAUUUGCUGCUCAGGACCCGAGUUCAGUGAGACAUCAGGAGCAAGCACUGGAGGCCGGUGCUGCUGGACCCAGAUGGGAGCCAUGCAGGACUUGACCAUGGCCUGCACACACUUCUUCCCAGGAGAAGGGGAAUGAGGAAGAACUGGACCAGAAGAUUUAACUUCCAUACCACAAGCACUGGGGUAGAAGACUGCUGCUGGGUGAAGAAGAGACUAGACUUGAUCAUUGAGCAGCCACUCACUGAUAUCUUCAGUGCUGCAUGAGGAAGCAGAGUUUAUUCUUCUGGAUUUGGUGGUGGAUUCUGGUGAAGAUACAGAUGGAUGCUCUGGCUGAGUCGCUACCUUGAAAUGAAAAUGGGAGGACUGGCCCCUGGGAUUUUCUGCUCAGGACCCGAGUUCACUGAGACAUCAGGAGCAAGCACUGGAGGCCGGUGCUGCUGGACCCAGAUGGGCGCCAUGCAGGACUUGACCAUGGCCUGCACACACUUCUUCCCAGGAGAAGGGGAAUGAGGAAAGUGGGGGGCCUCAAAGCUUCCUUUCCUUUCUGUUUGUCUUGCUAUGUUUUUAUAUUCCUUUUUAUCCAUUUAAUUAUUUAGUACAAAAUCAGGUCCAGUCUCCUUAGAUAUGGCAUUGAUAUAAAGUGUAAAAUGGAAGCUAAAUUCUAGGAGUACAGCAUUGCAUGCUUCUGACAGAGACAAGGAAGGCUAGAAUCACACAGUUAGUGGACACUGCAACUAUAUUGACAUUUUUUUUUUUUUAGACUGUGAAGGUGGGGACAGAUUGCUGCACUCAGAACACCUUCCCUGCUCUGGGGAAACAAACACUGUCAUCAUGGGGAAAAUGUUUCCUGUAGACCCACACAAGCACACACCCCUCCUCCUACAUCCAGCUUCUCCUCAGCCAUUUUGAAGCAGGGAAGAUCAGGGGGAUUCAUGAAUGGCGAAAUUUGGCCUUUUUUAGUGUAUUUCUCUCCUUCUGUAGGCAGACUGGCAUCACCUGACCCUUCAGAGUAUUAACUCAGACCCUGGUGACUGAGGUCCAGUACCAAGUGCUCAGCUGGGCUGCGGUGCAGGGACAGGAAGCAGAAGGGCAGAUUCAACCCCCCUCAGCUGGCCAUGCUAAUCUACUAGCUGGUGUCCUAGGGCAGCAAGGCGCCUCCCUCUCCAGGAUCUGAUGAGAAAACACUGCAGUUCCAGUUUCUUUCGGGGCUUGAAGAGAAGUCAAGGAAGCCCUGCAAGGCACUCACAGCUGAUCAUGCUUUCUGUAAUCGCCCUCCAUCUUCCUUCAUUGCUAGGAAUCAUUGGAAGGACAACAGCGGAGCUGUGAGUUUUGAAACCGCGUCCUCAUGGGGGCAGUAGAGGUCCACACAAGAGCUUAACUGGCCCCUGGGAUUUGCUGCUCAGAACCUGAGUUCACUGAGACAUCAGGAGCAAGUACUGGAGGCCGGUGCUGCUGGACCCAGAUGGGAGCCAUGCGGGACUUGACCAUGGCCUGCACACACUUCUUCCCAGGAGAAGGGGAGUGAGGAAGAACCGGCCCCUGGGAUUUGCUGCUCAGGACCCGAGUUCACUGAGACAUCAGGAGCAAGCACUGGAGGCCGGGUGCUGCUGGACCCAGAUGGGAGCCAUGCAGGACUUGACCAUGGCCUGCACACACUUCUUCCCAGGAGAAGGGGAAUGAGGAAGGUGGGGGCCUCAAGGCUUCCUUUCCUCUCUUUUUGGCUUGUUAUGCUUUUAUAUUUCUUUUUAUCCAUAUGAUUAUUUAGUACAAAAGCAGGUCCAGCCUCCUUACAUAUGGCAUUGAUAUAAAAUGCAAAACAGAAGCUAAAUUCUAGGAAUACAGCAUUGCAAGCUUCUGACACAGACAAGGAAGGCUAGAACUGCACAGUUAGUGGACACUACCUCUGUAUUGACAUUUUUUUCAGUCUGUGAAGGCGGGGACAGAGAGCUGCAGCCAGGACACCUUCCCUGCUCUGGGGCAACACUGCCAUCAUGGGAAAAUGUUUUCUGUAGACCAGCUGAGGCACACACCCCUCCUCCAUCCUGCUUCUCCUCAGCCAUUUUGAAGCAGGGAGGAUGAGGGGGAUUCAUGAAUGGCGAAGCUUGCCCAUUUUACUGUAUUUCUCUCCUACUGUGGGCAGACUGGCAUCACCCGACCCUUCAGAGUAUUAAUGCAGACCUUCGUGACAGAGGUCCAGUACCAAGUGCGCAGCUGUGCUGAGGUCCAGGGACAGAAAGCAGAUGGGCAGAUUCAACCCCCCUCAGCUGGCCAUGCUAAUCUACUAGCUGGUGUCCUAGGGCAGCAGGGUGCCUCCCUCUCCAGGUUCUGAUGAGAAAACACUGCAGUCCCAGUUUCUUUCGGGGCUUGAAGAGAAGUCAAGGAAGCCCUGCAAGGCACUCACAGCUGAUCAUGCUGUCUGUAAUUGGCUGCCAUCUUCUGCCAUUGCUAGGAAUCAUGGGAAGGAGGACAUGUGGUGCUGUGACUUCUGAAACUAUUUUCCUCAUGAUGGCAGUUGUGCUCCACAAAAGAUCUUUUGAUUGUUUCCCCCCCCUCCCCGCUUCCUGUGUGAAAAAUUAUCAAGGAGAAUAUAGGUACCAAGGAAGAUUGGUUCGGUGAACUUUGCCUGUCCUCGAAUCGGUUCAGGGAUGGUUUGUUUUGUUUUUUGUUUUUGUUUUUUUGUUUUCUUGUUUUCCUUCUGAAGUCAUUCUGAGUCCUCAUUCUACCCUAGGUUGUAGGCCAUUUCCUUUUCUACAGCUGUUCAUACUCACCCUUUUUAGCUACUUAAUUUUGCUCUUGAUUGUCUAGUCUUAUUCAUUGGUUACAAUUUUCACACAGGAAAGGUAGUCUAGGAGCUUCGAAAGGAAAGCUUUUUUCAUGCAGGGUGAUUGGUAUUGCUGAGGGCUAACAACCCUUGCCUACCGUAUCCUAGAGCCUGGGUUUGCUCCCCAGGACUGAAAUGGGCACUGUUUGUCAUACAUAAUUAUGCAGCAGGGAAAUUCUCAGUGGUAAUAUUGUAAAACCAACCAAACAAAAAAACCCCCAAAACCAGUCAUGGCAGUAAGCUGUGAUCAGGAUGGAAUUGUAGAAAAGCAUUCAUGGGCUUCUCUCCUUCCUUUUAGUGUUGCCCCCUCCUCUCUGUCACUAAACCCCACUCCAUGUUCCUAGUGUCCCUCUUUUCUCCUCUCCUUCUAUGUACACCCAAAGGCAGAAAUACAGUUCUACAUUGGCUAGCCUAUAUGUCCUUUAAAAGUGUUCUCUCUCAUGAACAAUCUCUGCUUUAUUUCAUUUCCAAUUAAAUGCACACAUAUACCAAGCUGUUAAUGGUGCUUGCUUUGGGUAAUGAUAUUUACAAUAAAGUUUUCAUUUGUUCAUCCUUGAUGUGAAGAUUGGAAAGGUAAUUGAAGAAGCUGAGCUUUGUGGUUUUCGUGAUCCAUCCCUGUAACCCCAGCACUCAGUGUAGGAUCACGGUAGCCCCG